UACGUAGGGUGCGAGCGUUGUCCGGAAUUACUGGGCGUAAAGAGCUCGUAGGUGGUUUGUCGCGUUGUUCGUGAAAACUCACAACUCAAUUGUGGGCGUGCGGGCGAUACGGGCAGACUGGAGUACUGCAGGGGAGACUGGAAUUCCAGGUGUAGCGGUGAAAUGCGUAGAUAUCUGGAGGAACACCGGUGGCGAAGGCGGCAUCCUGGACCGGUAUUGACGCUGAGGCGCGAAAGCUAGGGGAGCAAACGGG
rnacentral:rRNA from 1 species